rnacentral:rRNA from 1 species
CCUGAUCCAGCAAUGCCGCGUGUGUGAAGAAGGCCUUCGGGUUGUAAAGCACUUUUAUCAGGAGCGAAAUACUGCCGGCUAAUACCCGGCGGGGCUGACGGUACCUGAGGAAUAAGCACCGGCUAACUUCGUGCCAGCAGCCGCGGUAAUACGAAGGGUGCAAGCGUUAAUCGGAAUUACUGGGCGUAAAGCGUGCGUAGGCGGUUCUUUAAGUCUGCUGUGAAAUCCCCGGGCUCAACCUGGGAAUGGCAGUGGAUACUGGAGAGCUAGAGUGUGAUAGAGGAUGGUGGAAUUCCCGGUGUAGCGGUGAAAUGCGUAGAGAUCGGGAGGAACAUCAGUGGCGAAGGCGGCCAUCUGGAUCAACACUGACGCUGAGGCACGAAAGCGUGGGGAGCAAACAGGAUUAGAUACCCUGGUAGUCCACGCCCUAAACGAUGCGAACUGGAUGUUGGUCUCAACUCGGAGAUCAGUGUCGAAGCUAACGCGUUAAGUUCGCCGCCUGGGGAGUACGGUCGCAAGACUGAAACUCAAAGGAAUUGACGGGGGCCCGCACAAGCGGUGGAGUAUGUGGUUUAAUUCGAUGCAACGCGAAGAACCUUACCUGGCCUUGACAUGUCUGGAAUCCUGCAGAGA